GCGUUGUACGCUCUGCAGUUUUUUUUAAUUUUUAAAUUUUUGUUCAUUAUAUUUCUGCGGCUAUUUUGAACCGAUUGAUUUGAACCUUAGUAUGAAGUUCAAGUACUCGAGGGUGAUUUCAUUUUGAAAACUUCAAAUUGAUAGGAAAGGGGAGUUCAAAGUGUGGGGAAAAAACAAAAAAAUUCUGCAAAAAAUGGUCCGAAUACUCAUAAACUUGUAAGCCAUAUUGAACGGGAUGCCCUCUUUAUCGCUUGACCUGGAUAAUUAAUUUUGGUUGAUUAGAGUAGAUCAAAAUUUUUUGAAAUUGAAGAAUCGUAAUACCUUGAAAAUUUUGAGAACGUAUUUAUUUAACAUCAAUAUCACGAAUCGUGAUGUGAGCGAGGAAUACCAUUGAUUAUUAAUAUAUACUUUGAAUUAUUCUUUUCUUUGAUGAUGGAGUGGUUUAAAGGUGGUAGAUUUAUGAUUUAUUGGUGUCUUAUUUUCCACUUUUCAAGUUUUCCUCUGACAGCUGUUGCAGAAAGUGAAGAGUGUACAUUCAUAUAGACCUAUGAUGACCAUAAUGGCGUGUGUGUCUUAGUGUGCUCGUACCAGAAUGAACAGGAUGUAAUUUUUGUGCAGGAUCCUACCCAAGACAAUGCAAGAUGAGAUAUUUCAAUUCAUCUUUCGUGAUACGAAUGUAUUGUUGUCAUUUUUAAAUGCCGUCUUCAAGGAACAUCAGGCUAUGGGAGUUGGAGAAUUAACUAUGAUCGAUUUACAUUCUCGAGAGCCUAAAAGAAGGGUAGAUCGAUCGCAAGCGAUCUUCGACGUAUCGGUCACCGAUAACUUCGGUGAAAAUUACAUAAUCGAGAUGCAACGGGACUUCGAAUCGUUCCAUGUUGACAAGUUCCAAUAUUACGCCACCCAAGCAUAUUGUGAUUUCUUUGAAGUUAAAUAUAAAAAACUUGUAGAAGAACACAAAAGACCCCCAAGUAAUCGAGAACUUUACAGAAACGCCCCAAGAAUUAUCCUUAUCGUCAUCACAAAAAAUCUGUCUGCUAAACCAUUUGUAGUACCCUCUUUAGCGCGAACCUCCUCCAACUAUUCUAUUUACGCUAGUACCGAAAAGUUUGGCCACGAAUCGAAAUUAAAUUACCUGUUUAUUGAUUUGGAAGAAUUUCAAGAGCGAGCGCCGAAAUCCAGUUAUGAAAAAUGGAUCCAUUUUUUCAAGUACGAGUAUUAUACGAAGGACGCAACGAUUUCCAAUGAUCUAGAACUAAUUUACGCAGAUGAAAAGGAUAUUUUGAAAGCUCUCAGAAUUUUGAGAGAAGUAUUGCCCAGCUAUAAGGAGAAGUAUAACGAAGAAUGGGAAAAAAGAAUGGAAGAUCAGGACGCGGGUUACCAUCAGGGUAUGCGAGAAAUAGCUGAACGCCUUUUGGAGCAAAAUGAAACAAACGCGUUAAUUCAGAAAAUAACUCAUUUAAGCGACGAGGAAAUCGACGAAUUAAGAAACGAAUUACACCAGUGAAUUCAAAAUUUAGUGAAUUUUGAAAAAAAAUCUCAGCAAAAAGCAAAGUGAGCAUGAAUUGUCAAAAUCAAAUACCAAAAAAACCAUUAUUCAUCUCACAUACCUAAUUACCUAAAUACUUAUUCAAAAACUGACCAAAAAUGGAAAUCGUUUCAUUUCCUUUUUUCGACCCUCACCCUCGAGGCAGAAAUGGGGGGGGGGGGUUAAUUUAAUUUUCAGAAAAUUUUGAAACCACCACUUUGAACCCUGUUGAAAAGCUUUUCACAUGAUUAGUUUCUGAAAAAUCUCCAUUCUACUAAAUUUUGAGCUCAAUAAAAUGUUGCACUGGUAUUCGAAAAUCCAGUUUUCCAAUUUUUCGUAAUUUCAAUAUUUUGGAAACCCCUGGAAAACUAGAAACCUGUGAUUUGCGCCAAUAAACGUAACGUUUUGAGGUAUAUAUUCAAUUAUCUAGAUGAAAAAGUUGAAUUAAGCUUCAAUGUAUAUUUCUAAUUUUAAACCCUUUUUAGAGCCCCCUCCCAAUACUUCAGGCACCCCUAAAAAAGGCGUUUAUGCAUAUUUUUUUGAAAUAAAUCGAAUAAUUUACAUGUGAAACACGCUAGCAAGAGCUCAAUAAUUUUUCAUUUGAUUUUUCCUGUAAUUUUCAUAAUUAAGCUUUUUUGGGUCAAAUUCUGAGAUUUUACUUCGUUGAAAUCGUAAAUAGUGAUGUUGAUAAAGUUUUUUAGAAGAGCAAAAUCUCAGAAUUUGACCCAAAAAAGCUCAAUCAUGAAAUUAUGGGAAAAUUCGCGAUUUUAAAUGAAUUACAAAUCUUUUUGACUCUUUUAGCGUCCAACUUUUGAAAUUCAAAUUUUUUUUGCGAAUUCAACGGUUGGCUGUUAAAAUAAAGUGUGAAAAAGAUGUGCAAUAAUUAUUCUUCCAAAAUUGAGAAUUUUCUCCAGGUUUUCUCAAAUUUUUUGCCAAAAUGGUUCAAGAAAAUACAGACAUUUUUUUUUUCAAAUCAACAGUUACUUUUGCUCUUGCUUUAUUAGGAUCUCUUGGCAUUUUUUCAAAUUCUGAAAAAUGCCAAUUGUUCAAAAACAACGAGAUAGUUUUACAAAAUCUUGAGUAAAGAAUGAAAUGAAAAUUUUGCAGGUCAUGGCAUUGAUUUUUUUUUUUAAUUCAAAAAAGUAGGUAACACAAAAAUCACAAAAAUGUCUCAACUCUGGAUUUCAACGAAUCUUGGUAGAGGUUGUGUGAAAUUUUUUUGACAAUUCUUUCGUUAUUCUCUCUUCUUAUUGUUCCAAGGUCAAAUUUUUCCAAAAAUAACCAACGAGUUAUUAUUAAAAUGUACAAUAUUACAGUACUUUUAAAAAAUGAAAUACACAGUUUCAGGAGUACGUAGGUACUCUAAUUCUUUAACUAUCUGCUUGAGAUAACAAAGUGAAAUUAAAAAAAAAAAAUUGAUAAAAUAGACAAAAAUAAGAAAAUUUGUGAAGAAAACUAAUAAAUAAUUUAGACAGUAUGUAAGUAUAUUGUA